CAAUAGCGUAUAUUAAUGUUGUUGCAGUUAAAAAGCUCGUAGUUGGAUUUCGGGAUGGAUGAACUGGUCCGCUCUUUGAGUGAGAACUGGUUUGUCUGUUCUUCUGUCUAAGAACGAUUGUUGUCCUUCACUGGAUGGCGAUUGGACUUGGGCCUAUUACUUUGAAAAAAUUAGAGUGUUCAAAGCAGGCUUUUGCCUUGAAUACAUUAGCAUGGAAUAAUAAAAUAGGACUUUGGUUCUAUUUUGUUGGUUUCUAGGACUAAAGUAAUGAUUAAUAGGGAUAGUUGGGGGCAUUAGUAUUUAAUUGUCAGAGGUGAAAUUCUUGGAUUUAUGAAAGACUAACUACUGCGAAAGCAUUUGCCAAGGAUGUUUUCAUUGA
rnacentral:rRNA from 1 species